UACAAGAUGCCUGGGUUGGUGGUAACUGG
rnacentral:piRNA from 1 species